CAGAGCGCUCACUAAGUGUUAGGCACUUUGCGGGCAUCGUGUCUUGUUACCUCCAUCAGGGCUCUGAAGUAGGCGCCACUAUUACCUCCAUUAAGAGACAUGGAAUCUGAGGUUCAGAGACGCCCAGCGACUUGCUCAAGGUCACACAGCUACUGAAUGGUCCCCUGCAAAAUGAGAGAAUUUUAACAUCAACCAACCUUCCUGUGAGGGUAGUUGGUAGCAACAAUGAGUGACCACCGUGGGUAAAGUCUUCCCAAGCACAAUUGUGUGACGGCGCUCAGCAGGCAGCCCAGCUCUACGGGCGUCAUUCUUCGUGGUUCUGUUUGAGGAGGCCAAGCCACCACCACCUCUCUUCUGGAUGCCUGCAGCAGCCUCUCACUGUCUGCCUGCUCCUACCCAUGCCCCCUGCUGUCCAUUCUUCACCCAACAGCCAGAGUGAGCAUCUCAAAAUGACUGACCCGUGUAACCAACAGGCUAUUGCAGAAAUGAUAGUGUGAUUUCUGAGACUACUUCAUAAAGGACACUGCAGCUUCUGCACUUGCUCUAGGCUAGUGGAAGCCAGCUGCCAUGUUGUAAGCACACUCAAGCAACUCUAUGGAGGAUUAUAGGUGGUGAGGAAUUGAGGCUUCCUGCCAUCAGCCAGAACCAAUGUUGCAGUGCCAGUCAAGCCAUCAAGUGACCACAGCUCCAUUCUGACAUCCUGACUGCAACCUUAUGAGAGAGCUUAAGCCAGAAUCACCUAGCAAAAUUACUCUUGAAUUCCUGACACACAGAAAGUGUGAGCUCUCUCUGCUACACACUGAAAAGGAAAUGAACUUUCUGCCACAACUGUCUUGUAAGACUGCAGCCCAAGUACUACAGGCCGACCAACCUUCCUGCCUUCUAUGUCCUGGAGAAG